AGAAAGUUAGUCUAAUAAAAGACAGCCGACUUCGGCUCGGCAGAUUACAGUAAAUCCCUGUAACUUUCUU
rnacentral:tRNA from 1 species